UACGAAGGGAGCUAGCGUUGUUCGGAAUCACUGGGCGUAAAGCGCACGUAGGCGGAUGUGUCAGUCAGGGGUGAAAUCCCGGAGCUCAACUUCGGAACUGCCUUUGAUACAGCACAUCUGGAGUCCGGAAGAGGUGGGUGGAAUUCCUAGUGUAGAGGUGAAAUUCGUAGAUAUUAGGAAGAACACCGGUGGCGAAAGCGGCCCACUGGUCCGGUACUGACGCUGAGGCGCGAAAGCUAGGGGAGCAAACGGG
rnacentral:rRNA from 1 species